rnacentral:misc_RNA from 1 species
AUGUGAUUGUGUAUUUUGUAAAUCUGCAAAUAAAGAUACUGGGAUUAAUAAUAAUUGUUUUCUAAUGAAAUUUGAGCAUGACGUCUGAGUGUAUCAGAGAACAUAGAUCAUCAAACCCUUGAUUUGAAAGAACUUGAUGUCAAAAGUCUUGCAGAAUCAGCUUCAAUAAAAAUUAAAUUUGUCUGUAUAAGCUACAGUGGAAGCUAAAAGUUCAAAAUAAUUGCUAAUACAUCAAAAACCAGCAGUCCCUAUACUUGCUUCCACAUCAUCAGUUAUUUGGAGUUGCCAAAUAAGAGAUUGCAGAAAUCACUAAUGGCCUUGAUUGUUCAAUUUGCCUUGCUUAUCCACUGAUGUGAUCCUACAUUCUAUGAGCUUCUCCACAAUUU